CCUACGGGGGGCAGCAGUGGGGAAUAUUGCACAAUGGGGGAAACCCUGAUGCAGCAACGCCGCGUGAGUGAUGAAGGCCUUCGGGUCGUAAAGCUCUGUCCUAAGGGAAGAAUACUGACGGUACCUUAGGAGGAAGCCCCGGCUAACUACGUGCCAGCAGCCGCGGUAAUACGUAGGGGGCUAGCGUUAUCCGGAAUUACUGGGCGUAAAGGGUGCGUAGGCGGGCCUUCAAGUCAGAGGUGGAAGGCUACGGCUCAACCGUAGUAAGGCUUUGAAACUGUAGGGCUUGAAUGCAGGAGAGGCGUGUGGAAGUCCCCGUGUAGCGGUGAGAUGCGUAGAUAUUGGGAGGAACACCAGUUGCGAAGGCGGCUCUCUGGACUGUAACUGACGCUGAGGCAAGAAGGCGUGGGGAGCGAACAGGAUUAGAUACCCGUGUAGUC
rnacentral:rRNA from 1 species